rnacentral:rRNA from 1 species
AACGAACGCUGGCGGCAUGCCUAACACAUGCAAGUCGAACGAGACCUUCGGGUCUAGUGGCGCACGGGUGCGUAACGCGUGGGAACCUGCCCUUAGGUUCGGAAUAACUCCCCGAAAGGGGUGCUAAUACCGGAUAAUGUCUUCGGACCAAAGAUUUAUCGCCUUUGGAUGGGCCCGCGUUGGAUUAGCUAGUUGGUAGGUAAAAGCCUACCAAGGCGACGAUCCAUAGCUGGUCUGAGAGGAUGAUCAGCCACACUGGGACUGAGACACGGCCCAGACCCCUACGGGAGGCAGCAGUGGGGAAUAUUGGACAAUGGGCGAAAGCCUGAUCCAGCAAUGCCGCGUGAGUGAUGAAGGCCUUAGGGUUGUAAAGCUCUUUUACCCGGGAUGAUAAUGACAGUACCGGGAGAAUAAGCUCCGGCUAACUCCGUG